GCCUGGGUGGCUCAGUCGGUGAAGCGUCUGACUUCAGCUCAGGUCGUGAUCUCAUGGUCCGUGAGUUCGAGCCCCGCGUCGGGCU
rnacentral:tRNA from 1 species